rnacentral:rRNA from 1 species
AGCGCAGGCGGUUCUGUAAGUCUGAUGUGAAAGCCCGGGGCUCAACCCCGGGACUGCAUUGGAAACUGCGGAACUUGAGUGUCGGAGAGGUAAGUGGAAUUCCUGGUGUAGCGGUGAAAUGCGUAGAUAUCAGGAAGAACACCAGUGGCGAAGGCGGCUUACUGGACGAUUACUGACGCUGAGACUCGAAAGCGUGGGGAGCAAACA